rnacentral:lncRNA from 1 species
CUAAACCACCAUUAUGGAGAGAGGGAGAAAGAAAAAAAUGAAGAAAAUGGAAAGAAAAAAGAAAGAAGAAGAAAGAGAAAGGAAAACCUAAUGCUGCUGUCCUUCUCUACCUUCUUGGCGGCGACGCUAGGUUUAUAGAAAGCGAAAACGGGCAAGAAGAAAAGGGAAAUUGAAGGAAAAGAGAAAAAAAGAAAGAAGAAAGGAAAAGCAAAAACAAUGAAGUGUCAGGUUGAAAUUUGGAGGAUCCGACAUAUAUUCCAUACCUAUUCCUAUGUCGUGUCAUGUCCGACAUGGGUACUCUACCUAUUUCGAAAAGUUCGAGCAUCAUAGCUCCUGGGGUCUUACUACAUAAAAACCUACCUUCUAUCCUCCCUUCUACCUUUUUUUAUAGCUAUUGCCUAACUAAUUUCAAUCAGCCACUUGCUCUCCAACAGAUUCUGUUUUUCCUAAGCUAGCUGGUCAUUCCUUCUUCUGGGUCCUUCUGGAGUAGGUGAAGCUGAUAGAAGUCUAUCAAUAGUUACUUUUAUUCUGUUUAGCAUUUCAGUGUAAUUCCAUUCAGAAUUCAGUAAUAUUUCUCAGUUGCUAUUUUCUUCCAAUAGAAUCCUAUCAAUUGGUAUCAGAGUAUGUUCGAUCCAAUGACCGGGGGGAAAAUAGGAAGCCGAGUGGAAGUGAUGGAAAAGGAGAUGGAGUACUUGAAAUCGGAAUUGCAGCAAUUACUUGGGCUUGAGAGAUCUGUGGAACACUUGUGCCGGAAUAUGGACAGAAUGUUCGAAACAAUGGAGACAGUUCAGAAAUCUGCGGCAUCAAUGACCCUUCCUAAAGCGGCAAUGAAUAGAAUGCUGGAAGGUGAAGGAACUGGAAUCAUCACGGAGGGACCGGCACGUCCAAACGUUCAAAGUAGGCCUGUGGGUGACAAAAAAACCCAGGAUUGUGAAAAGGGUCCUGAAUGUUCUGGCGAAGCAAACUAUGAAGAAGAUACAGCUGAUGUUGAGCAAAGAAGGAAGUAACUGGAGGAACCAGAAAUUGGAAAUGCUCAAGUUCAGCAGAGAUAAUCCAGAUGCCUUGACGUGGUUCCAGCGGACAGAGGCGAUGAUGCCUUUCCAAAACUGGCAGCAAUUCAAGCAGCUACUCCUGCUGCAUCUUCGGUUGACUCAGGAAGGGAGUAUCUGUAAGAAGUUCCUGGCAAUAAAUCAAAGUGGUACUGUAGCUGAAUUCUGGUGUGAGUAUGAGGUGUUGGCUGCACCUUUGAGAAACACUGGAGGAAGUCUUGGAAAACACUUGUGUUAAUGGGUUAAAAACCAGAUAUCAGGGCUGAAAUCAGGUGCCCAAAAGGGUUGGGCCAACUAAUGGAAGUGGCCCAAUGCAUUCAGGAUCACAAUCUGUUGUUAAAAGCUUCAUGGGAAAAUCUGACCCAAAAGGCUUACCAGCAUAUGAAGCUUCAUGAAAUUAUUCAAGUCUAUUUGCCAAUACUUCCCUGAAUCCCACCUUGAGGACAAGGUGGAUUUGGAAACCGGGGGUAUUGAUAGGCUCCAAUCCACUUCACUCAUUCUAGAAGGAACCAGGAGAAGAAUAAUCUGCAAGUGGGUGGAAAACUAAAGUCUGUUAGAGGGAAAAUUAGUGAUGGAAAGUCUGUUAGUAGUCUGCUAUAAAUGUGGGUUGAGAAUAGCCAUAUAAGGGGGAAUAGCGGAGAGUAAAAGAGACUCUAGUUACCAUUGUUCUGUUUAGCAUUUCAAUGUAAUUCCAUUCAGAACUCAAUGAUAUUUCUCAGUUGCUAUUUUCUUCCAGCAGAGUCCUAUCAGUUUGGCUAAGCUUAAAAUGUGCUUAUAAAAAAAGAUGUUAACUCAUUUGUUGUCAUGCACAUUAACUAACAUACCUUUAGAGGCACCGGGGGACUUAAAAUGUGCUUAUAAAAAAGGAAGUUUACUCAUUUGUUGUCAUGCACGUUAACUAACAUACCUUUAGAGGUUGAGGCACCGGGGGACUGAUGUCCGGAAGAAAAGGAUUUGCCAUAUCUGUGAUGUAAAAUAGUUAAAACGUGUAUGUGAAUCUUCUUUAUACUUUGUCUCCCUUUUCUAUGGUGCUUGGGGAGCAAAAUGGUCUUGAAUGGAUUUACAUUUCAUGCAUCAUUUCCAUGAUAGACUGAGAAUGGUGCGAUUGUGGUAUAACAUUGUAUAAGUUUUGUUGUCCAGGCGUAUACGAAGCUACAUCUCUGGACCAUGUUAGGAAAGAUUCUUUGCAAAAUUCAGAUUUACCCAGUGCGGUUUUUGAGGACCAGAUUCAGAUGUCUCUGCUGCCAACUUAAAGUAAGGACUAAUCUGUGUAGAAUUCUUUGCUUCUCACUACAUAAACCUUAUAACGACACAUCCAUUUGCUCAUGAUGGCGACCCUUCUUUUAAACUUGAUGGUGGGAUGGGAAACCUGGUGGAAAGUUAUUAAUUUCUAUUGAUCUAUCCAUAUUAGGAUUAUCUCUAGUUACAACAACCAUUUGAAAUUCCAUACAGAAGAAACUUUUAUGUUUGAAUUUCUCUUUAAAACUUUACAGUAUCAACUGAACACUUGAUCCGGUGGUGAUUUUUAUCUCUAAAAGUGUGUGCUAGUGCACCGAAUUUUCUCCUCUCUCUACCCUAAGAACUCUUUUAGGCCUAACCUGUUGAAAUGACUUUCUGUUUCGAAAUUUCUGCAUGGCAAAAUAGUUGUAACAGGUUUACACUCUUGUACUGCAGGAUUUUCAUCUCCGAACUUUUCCACUGACCUUUUUUUUUUCGUUUUUCUUUUUUCUUCUUUGUGCAGCAGCAAUUUAAUCAGGUGACUGUUUCAUUAGUGUGGAUCUGUUGCUUCCUUUUCCGAGUAAAAGUGGCUGCAAGAAUAUUUAUAAUCCUUUGCAGUGCUCAAAUUUUUUCAUAUCUGCAAAGAAGAAAUGUGCAAGCAGAUUCUUGGCUGUUGUGGCCACUGGAAAAUUCCCAACUGUUUGAGAAUGGCAUUAUGGGUCCACUUUGGAGAUUGGGUUCAUUACUUUGUAUAUCUUUUCAGUUGUCACUCUCAGGUUCAUGGAUUCUUCAAUAAAUACAACUUUUGCCCAUUCUUUCUGAAAAAUAGAUUGCAUAGAUCAUUGCUGUGACCGUAAGCUCUAAAGGAUUAUUUAGGGCACAUAUGGUACACUGAAGCGAACAUUAUUUGAUAGAUAGAAAAACUUUAUAAAUUUUGUCGCACUUCUCUAUCUUUAAUUCAAUGUAGUCAUGAUUCGCUACGAGGUUUCACGACUGUUGGAUUUUCUUGGGGGGUCUAUUAUCCCUUCCACCCCCGAUCAUUGUUUUAUUAUGCUACAUGUGCAUAAUGAUUUACGUACAUGUGGUAUAGUAAGAUAGGAUUGAGCCAA